GAAAACAGAUGAUACAUACAUAAGUAAACAAAUAUAUUAUGCAAAUCAGCAGGUCUUAACAGAAACAAUAGCUAAUCAGUCCCAAAAUUAACCCUGCUUAAUUAGAUUUCAGGACAUGAACUCUGUCUCAGUCAAACAGUACUGUAGGUGGCAGUAUUUAUUUUUUAAUUUUAUUAUUAUUAUACUUUAAGUUUUAGGGUACAUGUGCACAACGUGCAGGUUUGUUACAUAUGUAUACAUGUGCCAUGUUGGUGUGCCGCACCCAUUAACUCGAUUUAGCAUUAGGUAUAUCUCCUAAUGCUAUCCCUCCCCCCUCCUCCAACCCCACAACAGUCCCCGGAGUGUGAUGUUCCCCUUCCUGUGUCCACGUGUUCUCAUUGUUCAAUUCCCACCUAUGAGUGAGAACAUGCGGUGUUUGGUUUUUUGUCCUUGCGAUAGUUUGCUGAGAAUGAUGGUUUCUAGCUUCAUCACACGUAUGUUUAUUGUGGCACUAUUCACAAUAGCAAAGACUUGGAACCAACCCAAAUGUCCAACAAUGAUAGACUGGAUUAAGAAAAUGUGGCACAUAUACACCAUGGAAUACUAGGUGGCAGUAUAUUUUUAAUAAAUUUCAACUAUUGGGCCAUCAGCUGCAGUAGCUAAAGCUGACAUUCUUGAAAAUUCAAUUAAUUUUUCAGUAUCACUGCAAGAGCUCUGAUCAGAGAAAGUAGCUCUGUGAUGUCUCCAGGGCAUGAAUCAGGUACCAUAAAUGCACACUGGAUGGUUCCACUCUGCUGACAACAAUGGAUUCCAAGAUGUUUUCAAGAUUCUCUCCAUCCAACUGAGGUAUUAUUUUAAUUUUCAGUGAGACAUUUAUGUUCAAAGAUCUUUUUCAAUGAAGAGACAAACAGUUUUAUCAUUGAGAGACCAUAGCAAAUUAUCUGGUAAGGAGAAAGGAAAGAGAAAAAGAUAGAAUCUGGUCUGGGAGUAAACAGACCUCCUACAGAGCAUGUGCAUUUUUUCUCUCUGGAUGGAGGGAGUAGCGACAGAAAGUCUAAUGGAGUCAGCUGGAUUACUGAUCCAUUCCCUGGUCUCGUCAAGCAGAUGGUAGGGCUGGCUGUUAUGACACUGGUAAGAAUUCUAGCACAUCGUCAUGGGGAUAGCAUGUAAAUGAAGUCUCAACAUUUUCUAGGUAUUUUAGUCUUUACCAGAUUUAGGAGUAACAAGGCGGAUCUCACGAGAUGCUAGACAGAUCAAACAGAAAGGUGGAUAUUUGGAAAGAACAGUCUUCUUCCACUGAUUAGGUAAACCUCGAGACCAAUCCAGAAAUAAAUUGCCAAGCUUCCAUCAAAUAAUUCAAAAGAAGACCCAGGACUCUUGAUGAUAUACUUGAGGUCACUACAUAUGAAAGAUGAUAGCAUCUUAGAAGGCAACAGCAGAGGAAAGGAGAAUUUUCAUAGGGAAGAGGAGAGUCGGUGAAAGUGAAAUUGCUUUAACAAAAUAAUGAUCUCGAUAACCCCUACUUGAACUGUGGUUUGAAGGACAGUAUCAUCAGCAUCACGUGGAGUUUGUGAGAAACUUAGAAUUUCAAGGCCCUCUCGACCCCAAUUACUGGUGCAAACUCUGUAUUGUAACCCGAUCCCCAAGGUGAUUCUAGUAUACAUUAAAGUGUGAAAGUCUUGUUGUUAUGAACAGAUUCUUACAGUGCUGCAACUUAGAAUAUCUUUUAAGAAUUAUAAAGACAAUUGUGUGACUCUCAUAUCUGAAAUAAGUAUUAAAGGCAAAGUAUAUGUUGAUAUCAUGGCACUGUUCUUAAGGAAUUAACAUCCAGAUGAAUUGUUUUGCAUCUUUUCAUUGGAAAUAAAAUGCCUGGGGUGGGGUGGGGUGGGGUGGGGGGGCGAAAGAAUCAGAGAGCUCUGAUCAGUGUGUAAAUGUAUCAAAUAUCUAUUUAAUAUGUACCCCAGCAGAGAGUCCAGGCUUUAAAUCACUGGAAGCAAUCUCUGAAUUUUUAUUCUCAACACGUUUCACCUUUAGGCAAUAUUACAAUAAAAUUCUCUGUGGGUUUGUAAACUUAGUGCCACUCUUCGGGAUAAAUGUAAAGGGUGUAUAACUCCUGGUAUAUUCUAACAAGUCAUCAUUAUUAGUGAGUAUACUUAACAAGGUUCAUGCAACUGCAUUUACAGUUCUCCCUAGAAAUGUCUUUGUUCAUACACUGCUGCAGUUGAAAACUAUCAUUCAUUCUGGAUGUAAACUGAUUCAAUGAAAACAAAUGGGCCUGGGCUGUCACAUUUCCACUUACUAUAGUCAAGUGAACUUCGAACAUUUUAAAGUUAGUAACACUUAGAAAUGCAAGAAAUAUAUACUACUAACUCAAAGUCUCCUAUGUUUUAAAAAAGAAUGGCAGUUUUUUAAAAGGAAGAAAAAAACUAAAAUUAUCUUGAUAUCCCCAGCACAUUAAGUAGAGGAGAGGGUAAUAAAUAUGUGAUAAGUGUAAUGAGGAAUCAUGCUGGAUGGGAAGAAAUGUACUUUUGUAACUCCAUCCAUUCCUGUGCCUCAUAGAAGGCUUGACCAAGGUUUUUUGGUUUAUUGUUUUUUUCAGAUGGAAUGCUACUUUGUUAUUAAAACAAUGCAAAGAAGUAGGUCAGUAUACACUAAAAUCAGUAUAAAAUAGGAACACUUGAAUUGUUGAAUACCAUUCUUCACACUAGGAGCACAAGAGAAGGAACACUGAAAAUCUAUGGCAUAUCUUUGAUUUCAACACAGAAAGAGCAUUGAAUCCAAAGGUAACACAUGCAAACCCCCUACUCUAGAUAUUAGAAAUACAACAGUAAAUAAGGCUCUCAGGGUCUCCACUCUCAUCAAACCAGUGAUGGAGAGAUAACAAUAAGUGAGUCAAGUAUAAGUGAGUUAUAUGUGAAACUGAGCAAGCAAAAGAGCGCAAUGAGGGUGUGCAAUAACUAGAGCAGGGAAGUUGAUUUAGAUGAUUGGGAAAGCUUUAGGAGACAAUGACAAUUAAAUUGAGAUCUUAAUGCUGAGGAACCACUUGUGGGAAGAUCUGGACCAAGAACAGAAAGAAUAGAAAAAAAUCCAGUGAGCAUUGAGCACAGUGACACUGGGGCAAUGUGGGAAUACAAUGAAAUCAGAGCUGUGAGAUGGGGCUAUGUCAUGUAAGUCCUUCGAAAUCUUGGUCAAACUCUUUGAUUUUAUACCAUGCAUAAUGGGAAGCUACUAGAGUUUCAUAGUUAGGGGAAUGACAUGGUUUGAUUUACAUCUCAAAAAUAUAACUGUCUGUUGUGUGGAAAAUAAACUCUGGGUAGGCAUGGAAGUGACAGCAGUGAGUCCAGCAUUUAUGAAGUUAUAGAACAUAGGAGUAUGGGCUAUGAAAUUAUACACACCUGGGUUCAAAUCCCACUCACAUGAGCACUUGGGUAAAUAAUCACCUUAAAGUCUUAGUUUUCUUGUCAGUAAAUGAAGACAAUAAUACUAGGAUCUAUUUUAUAGGGUAGUUGUAAGGAUUAAACAAUAUAUGCAUAAUAAGCUUUUUAAAGACUGUCAAUCCAUGGGAUAUAUUUGUGGAAUAUAAACAGAAUAUUUAUGUAUAUAUGCUAUAUUUCUUCAUCUACUGCUUUUAACCAUUAAGUUACUUCUUUUCCCCAUCUCUUAAUAUCUUGGGCAGAAUCACUGAAUUUGUGGUCACUUUUGGUUUUUAAAAGUUUGGGCUAAUUUAUAAGUUAAUCAUGUCAUCAUUUUUAGUUAAAGUGGAGGAGGAAGAUGUAGUAUGUCUCUAGGUACCUUACCAUCACCCCCCAACAAGACCUGGCCCUUCCAGUUUAUUGGGAUGGAGCUGAUGAGGGGAAGAGAAAAGAGCAGUGGUUAUUCAUAUAGUCCUCUUUCUGUGGGCUGUAGCUGCUUCUCUGGUUCACCCUUACUGACCUCUGCUGCCCUUCAUGCAGUAGACUCACGAGUGCCCCAUGUGACUUCCCAACAGCAGUCAACAACAUGAGAGAAAUUCAUCUGUCUCAUCCCCCAGCUCGUCUCCCAGCUCUAUCCUUCACACAACACCCCAUAGCAUCCGGCUGCUCUAAUCCCCUGGCCCAGCUAGUGGUCUUCUUGUAAUAUUGGCUAGGUGGCUCAAGCCAAAGAUUCAAAGGGAUAUCUCCUUUACUGAUGCCUGUGGGAAUUCUGGCUGCACCAAAUGUUGAUGGUACAGAUUAAAUUCUUCUUUUUUUUUUUUGACGGAGUCUCGCUCUGUCACCCAGGCUGGAGUGCAGUGGCGUGAUCUCAGCUCACUGCAACCUCCACCUCCCGGGUUCACGCCAUUCUCCUGCCUCAGCCUCCCAAGUAGCUGGGAUUACAGGUGCCCGCCACCAUGCCUAGUUGUUUUUUUUUGUAUUUUUCAUAGAGACGGAGUUUCACCGUGUUAGCCAGGAUGGUCUCGAUCUCCUGACCUGGUGAUCUGUCCGCCUCGGCCUCCCAAUGUGCUGGGAUUACAGGCAUGAGCCACCGCGCCGAGCCAGAUUAAAUUCUUCUUGUCCCCUCUUUCUACCCUGCCGGUCCUCUUCUUCCCUCCUCAGAAAGACAUAGGGCAGGCCAGCAAGUUUGAUGCAUACAAAGUCAUGCAUUGGGAAUGCAGAACACCAGCUUUCAUUUCUUUCCCGGCAUACACAUGCUCUACAUGUGAUUCUAUAGUUUUUUCCCUCAAUUACUUUCGGUAAAAAAAGCAAACCUCUUCACUAACAAUAUGUUUUACAGAGCCUAUGCCUUAAAGACUCUGUGCUUACCUGUCCCUCACUGCUUAGGUAGAUAAGGGAGGUGGGAAGUGGGGAGUUAGAAGUAGUUAAAGGGUCAGUCUUUCUGUCCUCUAGUAAAUGCUGAGGAACGUAACUGGUCAGUUUAGGGAGGUUCCAUUUACAAUGAAGGCUACUUAAAUUAUUUUCUUUCAGAAGGUUCUAAUCAACAAUUCUAUGAGAAAAAUUUCCAUUCAACAUAUGGUGGACAAUCAAUUAAUGGUAGAUAUUAUGAUCAUUAUUAUUAAAGUAACCACUACAUUUAAAAUCACUACUCAGCAGUUUUAAAAAAUCAGGUUUUUACCAAAUGUUUUAUUACCCAGAAUAUCAUGAUGACCAACACCCUCAUUCUAGGAGCACUUGGUUAAUUAAGGUUCAUGACAUAAGAACGAGAUUGAAGUAUUGUAAAUAGAAAAAAAAAAAAUACAUGUUUCUAUUGAUGGUUUAUUCUCUUAAACAAGUUUGUGCCUGAGUGACUUACAAAAUAAUUUUAUAAAAUAUUUGCUAUUUAUUUAUUUUUUUAUUUGCUCAGGGAAACGCAUCAGGCUAAGAAUUAUGAGAGUGAAACACUGGUUUCUUCUUGGACACUUUUCAGCUCUGCCCUUAACCACCCUACUUAGCCUCACUGGGCCUCAUUUUCCCUCCUGGCAAAGUGACAUAGUCAGACUAAGUGAUCUCCAAUGUUUCUUUCCAUUCUAAAACUCUAUGGUUCUAUAACAUUCUUGAUUUAUUGAGUCACUGUUUCACUGAUUCAUUCAAUAAACAUUUGUUGAAGCCCAAUUCUGUGCCAAACUCAAUUGCUCUCCUGCUGUCAAAAUCAGGCAACAUGCUAGAGUUAAAAUGUCUUUAAAGAUUUCUGAUGGCUGCCGCUUUUAAAAGGAACUUCCCACAGCAACCCCUGCCUCUUUGUGCUUCUAGAGCUAGCUCUCCUAUUAUUCUGUGAGGACUUACAAAUUCAGAAAGACAAAGGAAUAUGGAAAGUCCUCAUAUUCACAAACUACUAGAUGUAAAUUUCCUACUUCUAAUCACCUUUCUUCCACAACCCAGAAAACAGCACCUUCAAUGGAUUUGCUAGUGUUACAGAUUGUGUUUGAUUAUUUGUCCCCAAAUUUAAAGUACUUCUUCAUAUAAUUGCAAAUAUAUGCAUAGAAAAUAAAAUAUUUUAAAAGAAAGCUAAUAUUAUAUACUAUAGUCUUAAUUUGAGAUUAUACAUAUUUAUCCAAUAAAAGUACAGAAGGAUCAAUCAAUACUGACUAGUGUUUCCCUAUGGGCUCCAUGGAUAGAGCCCAUAAUUUGAAAUUAGGAGCCCUAGGUUCAGUUCCUCAGUUUAUGGUUGGUGCUAUAUGUCCAAGAGCAGUAAAUGUAGCUGAGUCUGACUUUAUUUACCUCAAUAUAAUGAACAUAGAUAUUCUGUUAUGCUGCAUUUUCAGAUUUUUUAAAAAUUAAAAUCUUUAAUAUAAAUUAUGAAACUUCUUAUUAAUUAUAUACUGGGUCUUCCAUAACUUCCCAUUACCCUAUCUAUCAUAGCUGUAUUGAAAACAUCAUUAAUCAACAUUCUCUAGCUCAGUAUUUUUCAUCCCAAAUUCCCUAUCUGGUUUGAGUACCGUUUUCUCAAUUAUCUGAAGGGUAGUGUAAAACCAGCAUCAUUCUAGAUGCAUAGGAGAGAAGUUAUUUCAUUAAAUAAGACAGAUUCCUUAGGGUUUUAUUCCCGUCCCAAGUUCAAUAGAGUUACAGAUUAAGUGCAAACACACAGAAUUCACGAGAAAGACUUGAGGUAACUCACAGAAUAGAAGGAAUUGCUAAACCACCAAUUCUUGGAGAGGAAGAUACUCUGGGUAAACCCAAACUCUUGAACUCACAGUUCCUGGUCUCCUCUAGGUUUGUACCACUCAUAUAAUUGAGCUCCAGUGAACUUGAGGUAAUUCUUUUCAGGUUCUGAAUUCCCCAAAUCAGAAGACUUGGAUAGCUCUACUUGCGUCAGAAGUCAAUUCCCAGAUCAGUCUUUGUGGUUGGAAUACGGAAGAGGGGACAAGAUUAUAAAGCUGGGACAUGCCAGAGAAUGGCUGUGAGGGGACAGCCUAAUCAUUCAUUAACACCUGUCGUGGUCUACAAGUUAGUAUUUAGAUCUAGUAGUUAAAAAAAAUAUUUCCUAGGAUGAUGAAAUUAUUAACAUCUCUUUUUUAGUUUUACCUUUGACAUAAAUUUAGGUCUUAGAAUCCAAGGUAAAUAAUGAAUUUCAGCUGAAUUGUGACAAGCUUUAUUUAAAUUGUGCAUCUUUAUCAGAGAUCUAAGCUAAACACAGAAUUAUAAACUUUAUAGUUGGAAGAGGGAGAUCCAUAACAUUUACGAGAUUUUCUCUGGUGCACAGGCGAAGUUGGGAUGAAAAGCUGGGUCUCUAGAUCAGUUGACUCAAAACAGAGAUGAUCAUCAGAAUCACCGGGAAAACUUUCUACAAGAGUAUAUUUCCAGGAACCCUACCCACUUCAGCUUCAACAAUAUUGGGGUGGAUCACUUGUUAACAUAUUAUUAUUUUUUUAGUUUCUAGUUAGUUCCAAUGACUAGUUUGUCUUACAAUUCAAUGUUUUGCAGUUUUUGCUUUUUAUUUUUGUUAAAGUAAUGGGCCUCCUCUCACCUUAUUCUCCAAGGAAAGAAUUCACAUCCCAACAAAUAGCACAAAAUACAAAAUAAAAUAGACAUAAGAGAAGCAAUCAAAAAGCAGAGCACAUUCUCACUAUUUAGUUUGGAAGCAAUUUCAUUGGUUAGAGAACAUUCUGGCCAAACUGAAUAAUACCACCUCUUGAAUAUGUAGUUAUAAUUCACAAUACAUCCAUUCACUUCUAAGAGUGAGCGUUCUCUGGACUCAUGGAUAGGACACAUUCCACAUUCACAGGCUGCAAUUGCUUUUUUUGUUGUUGUUUUCUUUUCUACUUGUGGGUAAACCAAAUACCAUAUUAAAACAAAUUAUUUCUCCUCUUAAAGAUCAUUUUCCUUGACAGUAUAUGGCAAGAAUAUUUGAUAUAUUUUACACCCCAUGCUUGAAAUAAGUUGUCUCCUCCUCCAUUAACCAUAUAAUAUGCCUUCCCUACCAACAAUUCAGAAAACUACACAAGUUAAAGAGGUCUUCUAUUCAAGGGCUUUCAAAAAUUUCUUCCCAGUUACCCAGGACACAUAUACAAUACCUAAGCUUUCUACCCUCAAUACACUCUUCUACUUUUGAUAGGAAUAGAAAUUCUUCAAAAUUGAUUUCAUAAUCCACCAAUGGUUCACCAUCCAAACUUUGGAAAACACAAAUGUUAUUCAACCUUUCCAUUUUAUACAUUAAAAAAACGAAGGUCCAGAGAAGUUAAUAGACUUGGCAAAGACCACUCAGCUUAUGAAUGCGCCGGACUAGAAUUUGGCUUUAUGACUCUAUAUCCUGUGUUCUUUCUAUCACACUUCUAUGCAUUUAUUAUUUUUUUCUUUCCUUUUUUUUUUUUUUUUUUUUUUU